rnacentral:lncRNA from 1 species
UAAACUGCAGCAACGACUAGCAUGCAAUAUUUUAAUUAAGAAACAUAUCACAUAAGUCACGGUUAUCUUAGACUUAUUAAUCUAUCUAGCAGCAAAACACAUCUUGAUUUUUGUUUGCACACGCCAUACUUUUAUGUAAGAGUAAAUUAAAAAAAUCCAGAGAUUUCACGCAGAUACCCAUUUACGUUUUAGUUGCUAAACACCGUCGGAUUUACUUGACCUCUUGUUCGCUAGCGUCUGAUAUUUCUCCCGAGGCGGCGGCGGCGCUUGCCCAAAGCAAGAAGGCGCCUGCCAGUCCUCACCCUCCUCCUCCUCCAUUUUCGCAUCCUCGUCGCCGCCACAGGAGCACUGGAGCUUGGCCCUCGACAGAGGCGGGCGGCGGCUGGAACAGGGCACCGAGGCGCGGGCGGCUCGAGACUCUAGAGAGACCAUGAGGAGCACCAGAAGAUUGAGAACGUGGACGCGGAGCCGAGGGAGUUGGCUUUCGUGUCCCGGACUCGCCGGACGAGCAGAUCGAGCAGCAGCGGUGCUCGGCCGUCGUUGGGGAAGAUGAACGCGGCGCCGGCGAUUCGUUGAAGAUGGCGUCGAUUACUCCGAGGGGGAGCUUCAUCACGACAAGGCGAAGCUCGGUGACACGUUGGUGCGGCUCGGCGAGGUCUCUAGCCGCGGUGGCGCAAGGCGGCGGCGCGCGGACGCGCUCUGGACGUCAGGCAUGCCGUUCGCGUUCCGUGCAGAGCAGAGAACAUGAGGAGGUGCGUCUUGCGGAUCUGGG